rnacentral:rRNA from 1 species
GUGCCAGCAGCCGCGGUAAUACGUAGGUGGCAAGCGUUGUCCGGAAUUAUUGGGCGUAAAGCGCGCGCAGGUGGUUUCUUAAGUCUGAUGUGAAAGCCCACGGCUUAACCGUGGGGGGUCAUUGGAAACUGGGAGACUUGAGUGCAGACGAGGAAAGUGGCAUUCCAAGUGUAGCCGUGACAUGCGUAGAGAUGUGGAGGAACACCAGUGGCGAAGGCGAGUUUCUGGUCUGCAACUGACGCUGAGGC